CCCAAGUCAUCACCAUGAAAGCAUGAAACUUUAGUCACCUACCCAAGGGGAUUCAUGGACAUAUUUCAAGAAUUUUCUCCAAGGGACCGUGCUUAUAGACUACCUGGUCAGGGUAGGAAUGAAGCCAGGGAGCCAAAGGAAGGCUUCCAGCCAGGGAGAGCAAACUGAAGGAAACUGCCUCCAGUGCCAGUGCCAUUGGGUUAUAGCAGAAUAGCCUGUGCAGUUCGUGAGACUCCAUCGAGGGAUUAGAGCUCAGUGAUGAUCUUUCUGACACGUGGAUUUGGGGACUUGUCUGACCAUUUAAGUGUGCUGUUACAUCUGUGACUUUCCAGCAGUGUGCCUGUGACCAUGGAGACACCCUCAUGGAGCAUCAAUUGAGACAAGUACUACAGGAUCCACUCUGGGAGCUCCGGUCAGACUUGUAAAGGCACAUCCACAGCACAGAUGUGGAGUAUCCCUCCCAAGGGGUGCAGCUAAGCAGAUCAAGCCGCUGCCUACAGCUGGGUUUUCCAUCUAGUCACUGGGUCGCAACAAGCUAACUUCAGCUGCCACCACUCAGAGGCCAAUGAGGAGAGUCUAUAAAAUUCCCCUCAAGUUCUCUUUGUUAGUGAUCUAACACGCAGCUCGAAGUGGGUCUUCCAGAUCACCAGGCAGCUGUCCUCCAAGUGGUGAUGUGAGACCAAGCUCCUUCUACCUGAUGACUCCACCAUCUUCAACUCUGGCCCCCCGGGUCAUCCUGGAGCCCAAUAUCCACCAGCAGAGCAAGAGGAGAGGACAUAGAAGUGUGCAAGGAGGUUUUUAUGGGCCAGGCCUGAAGCUGCAUACAUUACUUCUACACCCAUUCCACUGUCCAGAACUCAGUCUCACGGUUGCAUCUCACUACUGGGAAGACUGGGAAACAUAGUCCAGCAGUCACUGCCCCAGCCAUAAUUUUUAGUAAUAGAAACACAAACAUCACUCCAAUGCAGUUAUGAAUUUUUCUUUAUGUAUUAUGUAAUACUGUUUAUAUUUUUCUCAGUUUUUAGUAUGACACAGAUAUGAAACUAAAAGGCAAGGUGGUGUGGUGAAAUGAGCAGUGGUCUUGGAGACGUGGCUUCUAAUCCUCUGUGAUCUUGGACGUAUCACUCAGCCAAUCUGAACCCCAGUCCUUAUCUGCAGAAUGAUAGGGGUAAAGCCAGCUGGUAACUGUGUAGUCUCCUCUACUCCCAUCUUCCCAGCUCCAAAGGUUUACAGUUUUUUUCACAAAAGUAAUGCAAAAUAAAACAUGCAGUGACUCUCAGAGUAGACAAGUGAUAGGUUACAAGUCUUGGAUGAGUGAAGAUGAGAAGAUUUCUUGAAGAGAAGCAGCUUUAAGCCUGUUCUUGGAGGAGGUGAUAGUCCUGAAUAGAAGGAAUGAAGUAUGGAAUGCUAUGCAAGGAAGGGGUGAAGAGGACCAUAAAUAAGAAUUUGGGGGAGGGAGCAUGGCAAGGAGAAUAGCCUGGCUGAAAAUAUGAAUGUGUUAGAGUGGGGCUGGGGGUGAACUGAAGAUAUAGUUUGAUAGGUAGAGGGUAAGAAAACAUUAAUGAUAGACUACCACACUUAGGCCAUAUUUCAUCCAAAAGGAUCCCAAUAGGAAGCCAAUUAUGGUUUUUUUCUAUGGGCAAGUGACAUCAUGAAAAUCUGUUAGUCAUUGUGAAAAGAAAUCUGAUUAGAUCAUAGCACUUGAUGUGACCUUACCCUUUUUAAGUCGCUGAACUUCUAAAGUCUAAAUGCUCCAUAAAUAAUCUUCCAAAUAUGUUAGUUAUCUGAAUUCUAUACCCAUUUCAAGGAAGAAGAAAGAGUUUUACAUGGUAAUGGGGAAAAGGAUGAGGAUGUGGGAAGAAUCAAUAGUUUGAAAGAAUUGAAAGAGAGCCCUCAGUUCUCUGCUUUAUUUUAUUUUAUUUUUUUAAAUCUAGGAUAAAUAUGUAGGUAAGACAUGAGUCAGAGCAAACUCAGAAAGUACCUAGAAGCCUUCAGCAUUUGAAGCAGGCUCGCUAGUUUCAUGUGGGUGAAGUUUGGUUUUCAGGAAGACAAAUUGAAAAUAGAACUUGUUUGUUUAGAUUUUGCCAUUCUCUAGGGACGUCCAAGGAUGUUCAAUGAACUGAGAGGGGAAGAAUUGGUUCUUGGGAACUGCUGCAGGGAGCCUUGUUUGGAGAGAGUAUGGCCCUGGAGUGGACCCUCAGCACAUUGCAGUUUUUCUCUGGACCUAGUCUGGGAAGACAUGGUCUUAGCAAAGAUGGAAUUCCACGCAAGUGGAAAGUUGUGAAGGCGGGCUCCUAUAGCAUAUACAACAUCAGUGAACAAAAGUGGUGGGAAGUCACUGAAAUGAAAGCUGGCAGAAUGGUUUCUAGCAUCUCACCUUUUACCAACGAUACUCUGCUGCUUUGAGCCUUCAUAUUCAAAAUCCAGGUUUUGUAACAAUAAGAAAAAGUGCUGUUUUUACCUGUGAAAUUCUAAAACUCCUAACCAUCAGAGAAUGAAGUGGGUGAUUGCCUGAAAACGACUCAUACAUUCCUUGAACAUUUCUCUCAAAAAGUGAUUCUUUUAUGAACAUGUAGAGGAAGC
rnacentral:lncRNA from 1 species